rnacentral:rRNA from 1 species
UUUUAAUAAAAAAUUUAAUAAACUUUUUAUUAUAAAUUACUUUUAUUUAAGAAAUAUAAAUUUAUUUAAUGAUCUAUAAUAUUAUAAUUAUAAGAAUAAAA